CAUGCAGUCGAACGAUGAUGCCCAGCUUGCUGGGCGGAUUAGUGGCGAACGGGUGAGUAAUACGUGAGUAACCUGCCCUUGACUCUGGGAUAAGCCUGGGAAACUGGGUCUAAUACUGGAUACUACCUCUUACCGCAUGGUGGGUGGUGGAAAGGGUUUUACUGGUUUUGGAUGGGCUCACGGCCUAUCAGCUUGUUGGUGGGGUAAUGGCUCACCAAGGCGACGACGGGUAGCCGGCCUGAGAGGGUGACCGGCCACACUGGGACUGAGACACGGCCCAGACUCCUACGGGAGGCAGCAGUGGGGAAUAUUGCACAAUGGGCGGAAGCCUGAUGCAGCGACGCCGCGUGAGGGAUGACGGCCUUCGGGUUGUAAACCUCUUUCAGUAGGGAAGAAGCGAGAGUGACGGUACCUGCAGAAGAAGCGCCGGCUAACUACGUGCCAGCAGCCGCGGUAAUACGUAGGGCGCAAGCGUUGUCCGGAAUUAUUGGGCGUAAAGAGCUCGUAGGCGGUUUGUCGCGUCUGCUGUGAAAGCCCGGGGCUCAACCCCGGGUCUGCAGUGGGUACGGGCAGACUAGAGUGCAGUAGGGGAGACUGGAAUUCCUGGUGUAGCGGUGAAAUGCGCAGAUAUCAGGAGGAACACCGAUGGCGAAGGCAGGUCUCUGGGCUGUUACUGACGCUGAGGAGCGAAAGCAUGGGGAGCGAACAGGAUUAGAUACCCUGGUAGUCCAUGCCGUAAACGUUGGGCACUAGGUGUGGGGGACAUUCCACGUUUUCCGCGCCGUAGCUAACGCAUUAAGUGCCCCGCCUGGGGAGUACGGCCGCAAGGCUAAAACUCAAAGGAAUUGACGGGGGCCCGCACAAGCGGCGGAGCAUGCGGAUUAAUUCGAUGCAACGCGAAGAACCUUACCAAGGCUUGACAUUCACCGGACCGCCCCAGAGAUGGGGUUUCCCUUCGGGGCUGGUGGACAGGUGGUGCAUGGUUGUCGUCAGCUCGUGUCGUGAGAUGUUGGGUUAAGUCCCGCAACGAGCGCAACCCUCGUUCUAUGUUGCCAGCACGUGAUGGUGGGGACUCAUAGGAGACUGCCGGGGUCAACUCGGAGGAAGGUGGGGAUGACGUCAAAUCAUCAUGCCCCUUAUGUCUUGGGCUUCACGCAUGCUACAAUGGCCGGUACAAAGGGUUGCGAUACUGUGAGGUGGAGCUAAUCCCAAAAAGCCGGUCUCAGUUCGGAUUGAGGUCUGCAACUCGACCUCAUGAAGUCGGAGUCGCUAGUAAUCGCAGAUCAGCAACGCUGCGGUGAAUACGUUCCCGGGCCUUGUACACACCGCCCGUCAAGUCACGAAAGUUGGUAACACCCGAAGCCGGUGGCCUAACCCCUUGUGGGAGGGAGCCGUCGA
rnacentral:rRNA from 1 species